GAUGAACGCUGGCGGCGUGCUUAACACAUGCAAGUCGAACGGAAAGGCCCAAGCUUGCUUGGGUACUCGAGUGGCGAACGGGUGAGUAACACGUGGGUGAUCUGCCCUGCACUUCGGGAUAAGCCUGGGAAACUGGGUCUAAUACCGGAUAGGACCACAUUUUGGAUGGUGUGGUGGAAAGUUUUUCGGUGUGGGAUGAGCUCGCGGCCUAUCAGCUUGUUGGUGGGGUAAUGGCCUACCAAGGCGUCGACGGGUAGCCGGCCUGAGAGGGUGUACGGCCACGUUGGGACUGAGAUACGGCCCAGACUCCUACGGGAGGCAGCAGUGGGGAAUAUUGCACAAUGGGCGCAAGCCUGAUGCAGCGACGCCGCGUGGGGGAUGACGGCCUUCGGGUUGUAAACUCCUUUCGCUAGGGACGAAGCGCAAGUGACGGUACCUGGAGAAGAAGCACCGGCUAACUACGUG
rnacentral:rRNA from 1 species